CGUCGGGAGCUGCGCGGGGGUUCUGCGCAGGGGCUCUCUGGCCUCCCGCCCGCCCCGUGCGGGGACCGUAGGGGCUCCAGGCACCACCGCACCCUGCCUCUUUUCGAGCGUUAGACGUGGAACUGGGCGCUAAGGACCCAAUGGGGCAGGGCGGGCGAGGGCUCUGCUUUCAAGCAAUUUCCUUUCUAAUGGGAGGGAGGGCAGAUUUCUCGGAAACAAGGUUAAUUUCCUAAAGCGACCAGUUCCGUCAGGGCAACAAAACACUAAGGAGGUAGAAAGCGAUGGAUGGGGUGUGGGACGGAGAUUCUUGCGGAAAUUCUUGCGAAAAGCUUCCUGGAUACCAACCCCCCGCCGUUCCCCUAAAGAAAAAGUUAAGAGGAGAGAUUGUCAACUCCACGAGGAUGAAGCCAUGUUCUGCUCACCAUUGUUUCCCCAGGGCCCAGUGCUAGCCCUGGACACAGCAAGUGCUUAAAUAUGUAUUGAAUGAAUAAAGUUGGAAGGCAAGUUUAUUUUUAUUUAUUUUU